rnacentral:rRNA from 1 species
GUCCCAGACUCCUACGGGAGGCAGCAGUGAGGAAUAUUGGUCAAUGGGCGAGAGCCUGAACCAGCCAAGUCGCGUGAGGGAGUACUGCCCUAUGGGUUGUAAACCUCUUUUGUCGGGGAGCAAAAGCCGGACGUGUCCGGCUGUGAGAGUACCCGAAGAAUAAGCAUCGGCUAACUCCGUGCCAGCAGCCGCGGUAAUACGGAGGAUGCGAGCGUUAUCCGGAUUUAUUGGGUUUAAAGGGUGCGUAGGUUGUUUUUUAAGUCAGCGGUGAAAGUUUGUGGCUCAACCAUAAAAUUGCCGUUGAAACUGGAAGACUUGAGUGUGUUUGAGGUAGGCGGAAUGCGUGGUGUAGCGGUGAAAUGCAUAGAUAUCACGCAGAACUCCGAUUGCGAAGGCAGCUUACUAAGCCAUAACUGACACUGAAGCACGAAAGCGUGGGGAUCAAACAGGAUUAGAUACCCCAGUAUA